GUUAGGAAUAUUGGACAAUGGGCGCAAGCCUGAUCCAGCCAUGCCGCGUGAGUGAUGAAGGCCUUCGGGUUGUAAAGCUCUUUAGCCGAUGAUUAUAAUGACUGUAGUCGGAAAAUAAGCCCCGGCUAACUUCGUGCCAGCAGCCGCGGUAAUACGAAGGGGGCGAGCGUUAUUCGGAAUCACUGGGCGUAAAGCGUGCGUAGGCGGCUUUGCAAGUUGGGAGUGAAAGCCCAGGGCUCAACCCUGGAAUUGCUCUCAAAACUGCAAGGCUCGAAUUCGGGAGAGGAUAGCGGAAUUGUCAGUGUAGCAGUGAAAUGCGUAGAUAUUGACAGGAACACCAGUGGCGUAAGCGGCUAUCUGGACCGAUAUUGACGCUGAGGCACGAAAGCGUGGGGAUCAAACAGGAUUAGAAACCCUUGUAGUCC
rnacentral:rRNA from 1 species